GAAAGAGAAGAGAUAAGGGAGGGAGGAGGGGAGCUUGAAGAAGUAAACACAAAGGGGAAAUGUGUGAUUAUGGGGGACUUCAACUUCCCGGAUAUAGACUGGAGGACGAGUGCUUGCAAGAAUAAUAGGGGUCAGAUUUUUCUGGAUGUGAUAGCGGAUGGAUUUCUUCAUCAAGUAGUUGAAGUACCUACGAGAGGGGAUGCCAUUUUAGAUUUGGUGUUGGUGAGCAGUGAGGACCUCGUAGAAGAAAUGGUGGUAGGGGACAACCUUGGUUCGAGUGAUCAUGAGCUGAUUCAGUUCAAACUAGAUGGAAGGAUAAACAAAUGUAGAUCUGGGAUUAGGGUUUUUGACUUCUCGAGGGCUAAUUUUAAAGAGUUAAGGAAAUUAGUUAGGGAAGUGGAUUGGACUGAGGAAUUAGUGGAUUUAAAUGCGGAGGAGGCCUGGAAUUACUUUAAGUCGCAGCUGCGGAGACUGUCGGAAGCCUGCAUCCCGAGAAAGGGGAAAAAAACCAUGGGCAGGAGUCGUAGGCCAAACUGGAUGAGCAAACAACUCAGAGAGGGGAUUAGACAAAAGCAGAAAGCUUACAGGGAGUGGAAGAAAGGCAGGAUCAGUAAGGAAAGCUACCUUGGUGAGGUCAGAACAUGUAGGGAUAAAGUGAGGAAGGCUAAAAGCCGCAUUGAACUGGACCUUGCAAAGGGAAUCAAAACCAAUAGUAAAAGGUUCUACAGCCACAUAAAUAAGAAGAAAACAAAGAAAGAAGAAGUGGGGCCGCUAUACACUGAGGAUGGAAUGGAGGUUAAGGAUAACCUAGGCAUGGCCCAACAUCUAAACAAGUACUUUGCUUCAGUUUUUAAUAAGACUAGUGAGGAACCUUGCGAUGAUGGAGGGAUGAUAAACGGGAAUGUGGAUAUGGAAGUGGAUAUUACCGCAACUGAGGUAGAGGCCGUACUUGAACAGCUCGAUGGGACGAAGUCGGAGGGCCCGGACAAUCUCCAUCCGAGGAUAUUAAAGGAACUGGCGCGUGAAAUUGCGAGCCCGUUAGCGAGAAUUUUUAAGCAAUCGAUAAACUCGGGGGUUGUGCCGUAUGACUGGA
rnacentral:lncRNA from 1 species